ensembl:snoRNA LOC120096838 small nucleolar RNA U13
AUCCCUUUUUUUUUUUAAGUAUGAUUAGGUUACACCAUUGUAUGACACACGCGUCCUUCAACCCUCAUUAUGACAUUAUUACAUUAUCCAUCUGACA